rnacentral:misc_RNA from 1 species
AAGUCGUAACAAGGUUUCCGUAGGUGAACCUGCGGAAGGAUCAUUAAUGAAUGAAAUUGAGUGAGGUUGUAGCUGGCCUUUCACCGGGCAUGUGCACACCUCAUUCGACCACCUUCUACACCCCUGUGCACUUCUCAUGAGUUGGGCCGCGUCUGAAACACGACAAAGUCCGGCUCGUGUGUUUUAUACAAACGAAUCAUGUUACAGAAUGUCACUACCAUGCUUUGAAGCAUAUAAUACAACUUUCAACAACGGAUCUCUUGGCUCUC